rnacentral:rRNA from 1 species
CGUGCCUAAUACAUGCAAGUCGAGCGAACAGAAGGGAGCUUGCUCCCGGAUGUUAGCGGCGGACGGGUGAGUAACACGUGGGUAACCUGCCUGUAAGACUGGGAUAACUCCGGGAAACCGGAGCUAAUACCGGAUAGUUCCUUGAACCGCAUGGUUCAAGGAUGAAAGACGGUUUCGGCUGUCACUUACAGAUGGACCCGCGGCGCAUUAGCUAGUUGGUGGGGUAAUGGCUCACCAAGGCGACGAUGCGUAGCCGACCUGAGAGGGUGAUCGGCCACACUGGGACUGAGACACGGCCCAGACUCCUACGGGAGGCAGCAGUAGGGAAUCUUCCGCAAUGGACGAAAGUCUGACGGAGCAACGCCGCGUGAGUGAUGAAGGUUUUCGGAUCGUAAAGCUCUGUUGUUAGGGAAGAACAAGUGCGAGAGUAACUGCUCGCACCUUGACGGUACCUAACCAGAAAGCCACGGCUAACUACGUGCCAGCAGCCGCGGUAAUACGUAGGUGGCAAGCGUUGUCCGGAAUUAUUGGGCGUAAAGGGCUCGCAGGCGGUUUCUUAAGUCUGAUGUGAAAGCCCCCGGCUCAACCGGGGAGGGUCAUUGGAAACUGGGAAACUUGAGUGCAGAAGAGGAGAGUGGAAUUCCACGUGUAGCGGUGAAAUGCGUAGAGAUGUGGAGGAACACCAGUGGCGAAGGCGACUUUCUGGUCUGUAACUGACGCUGAGGAGCGAAAGCGUGGGGAGCGAACAGGAUUAGAUACCCUGGUAGUCCACGCCGUAAACGAUGAGUGCUAAGUGUUAGGGGGUUUCCGCCCCUUAGUGCUGCAGCUAACGCAU